rnacentral:rRNA from 1 species
GACGAACGCUGGCGGCGUGCCUAACACAUGCAAGUCGAACGGAACUGUUUUGAAAGAUUUCUUCGGAAUGAAUUUGAUUUAGUUUAGUGGCGGACGGGUGAGUAACGCGUGAGUAACCUGCCUUCAAGAGGGGGAUAACAUUCUGAAAAGAAUGCUAAUACCGCAUGAUAUAUCGGAACCACAUGGUUUUGAUAUCAAAGAUUUUAUCGCUUGAAGAUGGACUCGCGUCCGAUUAGUUAGUUGGUGAGGUAACGGCUCACCAAGACCGCGAUCGGUAGCCGGACUGAGAGGUUGAACGGCCACAUUGGGACUGAGACACGGCCCAGACUCCUACGGGAGGCAGCAGUGGGGGAUAUUGCGCAAUGGGGGCAACCCUGACGCAGCAACGCCGCGUGAAGGAUGGAGGUUUUCGGAUUGUAAACUUCUUUUAUUAAGGACGAAAAAUGACGGUACUUAAUGA